GCAGGCUGCAACCCGCCUGCAUGAAGCCGGAAUCGCUAGUAAUCGCGGAUCAGAAUGCCGCGGUGAAUACGUUCCCGGGUCUUGUACACACCGCCCGUCACACCAUGGGAGUCGGGAAUGCCCGAAGUCAGUGGCCCAACCGGAAGGGGGGAGCUGCCGAAGGCAGGCCCGGUGACUGGGGUGAAGUCGUAACAAGGUAGC
rnacentral:rRNA from 1 species